UACGUAGGGCGCAAGCGUUGUCCGGAAUUAUUGGGCGUAAAGAGCUCGUAGGCGGCUUGUCACGUCGGAUGUGAAAGCCCGCGGCUUAACUCCGGGUCUGCAUUCGAUACGGGCUAGCUAGAGUGUGGUAGGGGAGAUCGGAAUUCCUGGUGUAGCGGUGAAAUGCGCAGAUAUCAGGAGGAACACCGGUGGCGAAGGCGGAUCUCUGGGCCAUUACUGACGCUGAGGAGCGAAAGCGUGGGGAGCGAACAGG
rnacentral:rRNA from 1 species